ACCACGGCCAGGGUGGUUUCCGAAAGGAAUAGGCCUGGAUGCUCCAGCCGGAGGUGAGCAUAAUAAAAAACAACCGGCAGCC
rnacentral:ncRNA from 1 species